AUUGAACGCUGCGGCAGGCUUAACACAUGCAAGUCGAGCGAGCGGCGGACGGGUGAGUAAUGCUUAUGAAUCUGCCUCUUAGUGGUGGACAACAUCUCGAAAUGGAUGCUAAUACCGCAUACUAAUAGCUUAGCCUAAGUCGGAUUAGCUAGUUGGUGGGGUAAAGGCCUACCAUGGCGAAGAUCUGUAGCGGGUCUGAGAGGAUGAUCCGCAAAACUGGGAAUGAGAAACGGCCCAGACUCCGACGGGAGGGAGAAGGGGGGAAUAUUGGCAAAUGGGGGGAAACCUGAUCCAGCCAUGCCGCGUGUGUGGAGAAGGCCUUAUGGUUGUAAAGAACUUUAAGCGAGGAGGCGUUACUCGCAGAAUAAGCACCGGCUAACUCCGUGCCAGCAGCCGCGGUAAUAC
rnacentral:rRNA from 1 species